AUUGAACGCUGGCGGCUGGCCUAACACAUGCAAGUCGAACGGGUGGCGGACGGGUGAAUAAAGUCUGGGAAACUGCCCGAUGGAGGGGGUAACCUACUGGGAACGGUAGCCUAUACCGCAUACCAACGGGUGUUCCCAGAUGGGGUUAGCGAGUAGGUGGGGUAAAGGCGCACCUAGGCGACGAUCCCUAGCUGGGCCUAGCGGAUGACCAGCCACAUUGGAACUGAGACACGGUCCAGACUCCUAAGGGAGGCAGCAGUGGGGAAUAUUGCACAAUGUGCGCAAGCCUGAUGCAGCCAUGCAGCGUGUAUGAAGAAGGCCUUCGGGUUGUAAAGUACUUUCAGCGGGGAGGCGUUACCCGCAGAAGAAGCACCGGCUAACACCGUGCCAGCAGCCGCGGUAAUUC
rnacentral:rRNA from 1 species